AGCACAUAUAGAUGUGGAAGUUUUCUCUCAUGGUCGAAAUCGCCGAACAGUUGACACCAAAGAUCAUCCAGAAAGCUAUGAUCUUGUAUUUCUGAUUGAAAGAUCUAAAGUUCAUCUUCAUUUAGUACAGAAUAACGACAUAAAAACAAAGGUCCCAACGUUUAUUCUGAAGGAUGGAUUUUUAAUUAAAGACGAAUUAGAAGAUGAUGA
rnacentral:lncRNA from 1 species